rnacentral:rRNA from 1 species
UACGGGGGGAGCAAGCGUUGUUCGGAUUUACUGGGCGUAAAGGGCGCGUAGGCGGCCACCGCAAGUCGACUGUGAAAUCUCCGGGCUUAACCCGGAAAGGUCAGCCGAUACUGCGGGGCUAGAGUGCAGAAGGGGCGACUGGAAUUCUCGGUGUAGCGGUGAAAUGCGUAGAUAUCGAGAGGAACACCUGCGGCGAAGGCGGGUUGCUGGGCUGACACUGACGCUGAGGCGCGAAAGCUAGGGGAGUGAACGGG